rnacentral:rRNA from 1 species
GAUGAACGCUGGCGGCGUGCCUAAUACAUGCAAGUCGAGCGAACAGACGAGGAGCUUGCUCCUUUGACGUUAGCGGCGGACGGGUGAGUAACACGUGGGUGACCUACCUAUAAGACUGGGAUAACUUCGGGAAACCGGAGCUAAUACCGGAUAAUAUUUCGAACCGCAUGGUUCGAUAGUGAAAGAUGGCUUUGCUAUCACUUAUAGAUGGACCUGCGCCGUAUUAGCUAGUUGGUAAGGUAACGGCUUACCAAGGCAACGAUACGUAGCCGACCUGAGAGGGUGAUCGGCCACACUGGAACUGAGACACGGUCCAGACUCCUACGGGAGGCAGCAGUAGGGAAUCUUCCGCAAUGGGCGAAAGCCUGACGGAGCAACGCCGCGUGAGUGAUGAAGGUCUUCGGAUCGUAAAACUCUGUUAUUAGGGAAGAACAAACGUGUAAGUAACUGUGCACGUCUUGACGGUACCUAAUCAGAAAGCCACGGCUAACUACGUG